GAUGAACGCUAGCGGCAGGCCUAACACAUGCAAGUCGAGGGGUAGAACACUUCGGUGUUUGAGACCGGCGCACGGGUGCGUAACGCGUAUGCAAUCUACCUAUACAGGGGAAUAGCCCAGAGAAAUUUGGAUUAAUGCCCCAUAGCAUUACGACUUGGCAUCAAGAUGUAAUUAAAGUUCCAACGGUAUAAGAUGAGCAUGCGUCCCAUUAGUUAGUUGGUAAGGUAACGGCUUACCAAGACGAUGAUGGGUAGGGGUCCUGAGAGGGAGAUCCCCCACACUGGUACUGAGACACGGACCAGACUCCUACGGGAGGCAGCAGUGAGGAAUAUUGGUCAAUGGUCGCAAGACUGAACCAGCCAUGCCGCGUGCAGGAAGACGGUCCUAUGGAUUGUAAACUGCUUUUAUACAGGAAGAAACCCUCCCACGUGUGGGAGCUUGACGGUACUGUAGGAAUAAGGAUCGGCUAACUCCGUGCCAGCAGCCGCUGUAA
rnacentral:rRNA from 1 species